GCCCGCAGCGUCGAAGCCCCUCCUGCUCCGCCGCCACUACUGGCUGCUCCGCCGCAGCUGCUGCUUCUCCGCUGCGCGCGCCGCUGACGCUCACGGCUCAUCCCCGCAGGCUGCCCUGCACCUGCUGCUCCUCCUCUUCCCCCAAUUUCUCUAGCCAGCCAUGGGGAAGCCCUCUCAAAGAAGAAUUAAUGUUGUCUUGAAACGAAAACGAGCUGAUAUAAGUGGAGAUGAAAAAGAUCCUGUAACUUUUUUGUUUGUAGUAAUAUUAUGUAGCCAAAGAGAACAAAAGAUUUGAGGAACGAAUAAUAUGCUGUGAAGUGGUGCGAUUGAGCGCAAAAUUUUGUUUUCUCUUUUACUUGACCCGCCCA